rnacentral:sRNA from 2 species
AUCCGAUAAUCGCUUAAUCCUUAAUUAGGAGCGGGGGACCCAAUCUUUUGUGGUGAAAAUCACUAGGGGUGAGUCCAUUUGAAAAAUGGUAGGGCUACUCUCAAUUGCCCGAAUCCGACAGCUAACCCCGUAAGCGUUCUGAGAGAGGAUAC